CGUGUAGGCGGGUAUGCAGGUCAGGUGUGAAAGCCCUCGGCUCAACCGAGGAAGUGCAUCUGAAACCGUAUAUCUUGAGUACGUGAGAGGCAGAUGGAAUUCCCAGUGUAGAGGUGAAAUUCAUAGAUAUUGGGGAGAACACCGGUGGCGAAAGCGGUCUGCUGGCACGAUACUGACGCUGAGACGCGAAAGCGUGGGGAGCAAACAGGAUUAGAUACCCUGGUAGUCC
rnacentral:rRNA from 1 species